rnacentral:snoRNA from 1 species
AUUCCAUGGUGUGGGCAUGAAAUAACAAGUCUAUUGAAUCUUUCCUUAUAUUCAUAUAAGUUCUCAUCAGGGUUUUGCUUGAUUCAACUGAUUUCCUUCCUGAUGUU